GCAGAGGUAGCUCAGUGGGAAGAGCUCGUGUCUUGCACACAUGAGGCCCUGGGUUCGAUCCUGAGUGCUGCA
rnacentral:tRNA from 1 species